GGCAGGUCAACGAUAAGUACGGUUUCAACAAUCUAAAGUGACCGGAAGCGAAGAUGGCCAGCUGCAAUCUUCGAGAAAUGCAAUUGGAUAGUCAAUUUCCAUUCAUUUGUGUGCACAGGAAGCUUAUAGUGCAAGCACAAGGGAGGACGUACAAUCUGCCAGGGUGCAGUACACAGAGGAUUCAGCAGUUGCCUUUGCCUAGCCGUCGUGCAUCAAUUUUGUCUGGGCUUAAUUCUCCCAGCAGUAUGAAUGGUAGCAGGUUCCAAAGGAAAUUAUAAAUGCAACCACUCGGGCUAUCAUCUAUUCAUCUUUUCUCAGUGCCACAGGGUUUCAGACUUCUGCUUGAAGACAACACACAGAACUCUAAUACGGAGUACAUAGUUUACUGCAUUUCUCUUUCAAGCAGACUCUAAACAGGUAAACCAUGGAAUUAUGUUCUCAAACUGCAACAGGGCUUAAUGAAAAAGCAACUUCAAUUGCCACAAUUCAUCUCUCAGAAAGUAUAUCCAACGAGUAAAGUCACAUUCUAUGAUAGGAUAGCAGAAAACAAGAAAACCUUUCAGUGUUCUAGUAUAACAAAGCUGACACGAAAGCAAGGACAGCACUCUAAAA